UCACUAUAAUAGUGCUCAUCAAUACAGCCAAUCCUGGAGAGAAUUAAUUAGUACCAAAUGAUGGAUCAAAUGAGCCGAUGAUGAAGAACAAACAUAGGCACGGCAGCACUUUAUUAAUAUUGGGAGGAUAUGGUUGUCCUAAGGUUGGGUCUCAGUUUCAAGAAGGUACAGGGUACAUGUUUGACGUCCAAUCACUUUGAGUACUUUAACUGUGGACUAACGAGCCCCACUUGUUUGAUUAAAGAGGAUAGGAAGUGGGUGAAGCCUGUCAUCACUAAACCACACCUGCCGCAAUCUCAUUCAAUCGUAUUGAUAUUGUGCUAGCUGUUUGGAGGGAGAGUCAAUAAACUACAUAUAUUGGACACUAGGCACUCGGUUUAUCUUUGCCUCCUAAUGUCCCUCUUUUUGUGUUUGUCUUUCCUCAUACUAACUCAAGCUUGGUGUCAACACGGUGUACACUGCAGUGCACGUACAGUUGAAGGGGAGAGAGUGAGAAAGAAUGGGGUGCCUUUCUGGUAAGUAAUUUGGAUAUAUCAUAUAUUGUGUAGGUGACAAAUGAUGAAGAGAUACAAAUAAUUAAAAAGAGAGCUAGAAAAUGUCCAAUUAGAACAAUACAAUGAACUGGGCCUUAAGACGAAGACAAGACAUUAUUAGUGCUGUGUUGCAUUGGCUGAACGAUGAUGACG